rnacentral:miRNA from 1 species
AUAUUUCGGAACUGAGUCUAGUUCCUUCGAUAUCAGUGUGCUGGUGUAAUGUACUCAGGUGAAUAAGAUGUUUAUUCACCUGAGUACAUUACACCAGCACAGCAGAUUUCAUCAUUAUUAGAUUACACUGAUAUCGAAGGAACUAGACUCAGUUCCGAAAUAU